rnacentral:lncRNA from 1 species
AAAUGUAGAUAAUUACCCAAGUUUAUGUACAAAGAGUAUGUAAUGGUGGGGUCGGGGAGCAAGUAAUUAUCUAGCUUCAUAUAGCGAGGGGGCCUUUGAAUUGGGGUAAAUUUGAAGACCAGAAAAACCUAGACACAAAGCUAUGCAUAAAUUGUGAUAAACCUGGAUGAGAUGAGAUUGGAAGGAGAGCACUGUUGUUGCAGCAGUUGGGAGACAGAGGUGUCAUUAAAGACCAAAAAAAAAAAAAAAAAACCAAACCCCAAAACCUAGAGAAACAAACGAAGAGUGGAGUUACGGAAUGCUGCAGAGAAAUCAGAUAGAAUAAGGUUUGAAAACAUGAUGGAUAAACUCAGCCAGCAGAAGCCAGAUUCCAUUUGGUUGAGAAACACAGGUAAUGAGAAACUAGUAUUAUUUCAAGAAACCCAGCUGUAAAAGGA